CCUACGGGUGGCAGCAGUGAGGAAUAUUGGUCAAUGGGCGCGAGCCUGAACCAGCCAAGUCGCGUGAGGGAAGACGGUCCUAUGGAUUGUAAACCUCUUUUGUCGGGGAGCAAAAGACGCCACGCGUGGCGUUCCGCGCGUACCCGACGAAAAAGCAUCGGCUAACUCCGUGCCAGCAGCCGCGGUAAUACGGAGGAUGCGAGCGUUAUCCGGAUUUAUUGGGUUUAAAGGGUGCGUAGGCGGUCAGGUAAGUUAGAGGUGAAAGCUCGAUGCUCAACAUCGGAACUGCCUCUGAUACUGUCUGACUAGAGUGUAGUUGCGGAAGGCGGAAUGUGUGGUGUAGCGGUGAAAUGCUUAGAUAUCACACAGAACACCGAUUGCGAAGGCAGCUUUCCAAGCUAUUACUGACGCUGAGGCACGAAAGCGUGGGGAGCGAACAGGAUUAGAUACCCGGGUAGUC
rnacentral:rRNA from 1 species